ACAUCAAAAGAAUUCAAGAAAACAAGACACUUCUCUUAUAUACUAUCCAGCAGAAACACUCAGUUUGCUGUUUGGAACACAGAUUUCCUGAGAGUUCCAGUGUUCUCUGAGAAACAAUGGUGGUCUGGACUGUCUAUCUGUCUCUCUGUCUUCUGGUAGCUUUGAAUGCUUCAGUGGAAACACGUCCUGUUGGAGGUAAAGAAUGUGGCGGUAAGUCUUCUAUUGUCUUCUACUUCUCUUGUCAGUGUGUAUGUAUAGUACAGUAAAAAAGUCCAAAACCUGUGCAUUUCUCCACCUUAACAAGUGUGUGUAACACCUGAUGAUCAUGUUCUCCAGCAUGCUUUAAAAAUGUUUUAAAGAGCAUCUUAGAAGCUAUUUUAAAUCCUUUGUUUAUUUAAGGUACACUAUGUAGCUUUUUUGUUCAAA